UAAUAUUUGAAAAACUAAUUUUUGAAAACUAGUGGAUAAUGUUUUGUUGAAUUUCAGUUAAAAAAAAGUUAAAAUUUGGAUAAUAUUAUUUUGAUUGAAUUUUUGAUAAAAGAUUUGAUUUGAUUUUUAAAUUAUGAUAUGGACUUGGGAGGCUAAAACCCCAAUUUUAACUUUUUACUAAAAUCUUUUCGUUUUAUUUUUAGAUUAUGAUAUGGACUUGGGAUAAUAUUAUUAUUUUUUGGUUUUGUUUGGUCAAAAGAAUGGAUUAGCCCGUGUUUUUUCUUUAGACUUUCGUUGAGCCAAAACGGUUUCUGUCCCAAGAAAUUAACAAAAAUGGCCCAAAGGCCUGUUUCCAUAAGAAAUAUGAUACAAAAAUUACAAUUUAAUCCCUAAUCUUCUAAAUAAUUUCACUAGACCCUAAAAACUUUAAAUUUCUUUCAAUUAGAUCCCUAAUUUAAUUAUAAUUUGAUCCCUAAACUUUAUCUUGUGUUCAAUUUUAACCCCUAACUUUUAAAAAAAUGAUAAUUUGACUCCAAAAAUUUUCUUUUAUAAAUUGGACAAUAGUUAAUCUGAAUAAAUGUAGCGGAUAAUUUUUUUUAUAUAAAUAUAAAGGGUCGCCAUGCUUACCGAUGCCACAAUUUUUUUCAGUAAAAAUAGCUUACCAUGUCUUAUCAGUAUGACGGAUUAUUUCUUUUCUUUUUUUUUAUUUGUUAAUGGGUCACCGUGCUACAAGUACAACAGCCCAGAAUAAUUUUUUAAAAAAUUGCCCUCAAGCCCAUAAUAGGCUAAUUACUUAGAAUAUUAGCAAAAAAAAAAAAAAUCAAACACUUAUUAUUCUGACAGGAGUGUGGUAGCAAUCUAUUGAUGCCGGGCUGUGUCAGUCAGGCACCUGACACAAUUUUUUUAAAAAAAGAUGACAGGAUGUCGGGCUCUGUUAGCCAACAGCCAGUCAA
rnacentral:lncRNA from 1 species